rnacentral:rRNA from 1 species
AGAGUUUGAUCCUGGCUCAGGACGAACGCUGGCGGCGUGCCUAAUACAUGCAAGUAGAACGCACAGUUUAUACCGUAGCUUGCUACACCAUAGACUGUGAGUUGCGAACGGGUGAGUAACGCGUAGGUAACCUGCCUGGUAGCGGGGGAUAACUAUUGGAAACGAUAGCUAAUACCGCAUAAUAUUGAUUAUUGCAUGAUAAUUGAUUGAAAGGUGCAAUUGCAUCACUACCAGAUGGACCUGCGUUGUAUUAGCUAGUAGGUGAGGUAACGGCUCACCUAGGCGACGAUACAUAGCCGACCUGAGAGGGUGAUCGGCCACACUGGGACUGAGACACGGCCCAGACUCCUACGGGAGGCAGCAGUAGGGAAUCUUCGGCAAUGGACGAAAGUCUGACCGAGCAACGCCGCGUGAGUGAAGAAGGUUUUCGGAUCGUAAAGCUCUGUUGUAAGAGAAGAACGGGUGUGAGAGUUGGAAAGUUCACACUGUGACGGUAUCUUACCAGAAAGGGACGGCUAACUACGUGCCAGCAGCCGCGGUAAUACGUAGGUCCCGAGCGUUGUCCGGAUUUAUUGGGCGUAAAGCGAGCGCAGGCGGUUAGAUAAGUCUGAAGUUAAAGGCUGUGGCUUAACCAUAGUACGCUUUGGAAACUGUUUAACUUGAGUGCAGAAGGGGAAGAGUGGAAUUCCAUGUGUAGCGGUGAAAUGCGUAGAUAUAUGGAGGAACACCGGUGGCGAAAGCGGCUCUCUGGUCUGUAACUGACGCUGAGGCUCGAAAGCGUGGGGAGCGAACAGGAUUAGAUACCCUGGUAGUCCACGCCGUAAACGAUGAGUGCUAGGUGUUAGGCCCUUUCCGGGGCUUAGUGCCGCAGCUAACGCAUUAAGCACUCCGCCUGGGGAGUACGACCGCAAGGUUGAAACUCAAAGGAAUUGACGGGGACCCGCACAAGCGGUGGAUGAAGUUGGAUUAAUUCGAUGCAACGCGAAGAACCUUACCUGGGCUUGACAU